rnacentral:rRNA from 1 species
CCUACGGGUGGCUGCAGUGGGGAAUAUUGCACAAUGGGCGCAAGCCUGAUGCAGCCAUGCCGCGUGUGUGAAGAAGGCCUUCGGGUUGUAAAGCACUUUCAGCGGGGAGGAAGGCGUUAAGGUUAAUAACCUUGUCGAUUGACGUUACCCGCAGGAGAAGCACCGGCUAACUCCGUGCCAGCAGCCGCGGUAAUACGGAGGGUGCAAGCGUUAAUCGGAAUUACUGGGCGUAAAGCGCACGCAGGCGGUCUGUCAAGUCGGAUGUGAAAUCCCCGGGCUCAACCUGGGAACUGCAUUCGAAACUGGCAGGCUAGAGUCUUGUAGAGGGGGGUAGAAUUCCAGGUGUAGCGGUGAAAUGCGUAGAGAUCUGGAGGAAUACCGGUGGCGAAGGCGGCCCCCUGGACAAAGACUGACGCUCAGGUGCGAAAGCGUGGGGAGCAAACAGGAUUAGAUACCCGAGUAGUC